CCGGGUCGGGGCGAGACGCCGGGGCCGGAGUAGGAUUGGACGCUGGCGUCCCGGCCCUUGGCCCAGAGCAGCCGCGCGGGGGUGGCUUGAGCAGGCGUCUGGCCGGCGGCCCAUCCCAGCGGCCUCGCCUUGGCCCAACUGGGCGGUCAGAGGCGGGGCUGCCAGAUCCCUGCCGGGCGGGCGGAGAGCCAGGCCCCGGGGAGGAGCCGAAUCCAGGACACGUGAUUAAUACUUAGGGACCGCUGCAGCAUUGGUUCACCUGGUAGACUCUUCAGUACACAGGUGUCCACGACCAUGGCGGUGAAUCUUUUGGAGGACUGGUGCCGGGGAAUGGAAGUGGACAUCCACAGGUCUCUGUUGGUCACAGGCAUCCCAGAGGACUGUGUCCAAGCGGAAAUUGAGGAGACCUUGAAUGGGGUCCUCUCUCCACUGGGCCCGUACCUCGUGCUCAACAAGAUUUUUUUGAGAGAAGAGAAUACCAAAGCUGCUCUCGUUAAGGUCGGUGAGGGAGUGAAUCUGAGGGCUAUACCCCGGGAGUUCCCAGGAAGAGGGGGUGUCUGGCGAGUGGUCUGUAGGGACCCCACCCAGGAUGCUGAGUUUUUUAAAAACCUGAAUAAAUUCCUGGAUGCAGAGGGCCGCACCUGGGAAGAUGUGGUCCGCCUGCUCCAGCUUAACCACUCCCCACCACCCCAGAACCAGAAUCAGCCUCCAGAGAACUGGGCAGAAGCUUUGGGGGUGCUUUUGGGGGCGGUGGUGCAAAUUGUCUUCUACAUGAAUGCUGAGAACCGCAGCCGGGAGGAAGUGAGGGCUCAGGAGGCUGCUGAGGCCCAGGCAGUAGCAUCCUUGGCUUCAGCAGCAGGGAAGAAGGUCAAAAAGGAGCCAGGGUGGGCUGUGGAGGUAGGCUCUGCCUUGAAGAUGGAAAAUCUGGAUGGCUGGAAUGACAUGGAAAACGAUGGUGACCCUCCCAAACCUUUGGUUCGAAAGGCUGGAGCUAAGACUCGCUCCAGGAGAAAGAAGCAGAAAAAGACUCCCAAGCAGGAACCAGCGGCCUGGAAGAAAUCCAAAGGCAGCCAUUCCAACAGCUUGGCUUCUUUGGAGGAUCCUGAGAUUGGUGAUGCUGAAAACAUGGAGAUGUCUGAAUGUAUCAGGAGCAACAGAAAACCCCAAGUGAAGCAGGAGGAGUUGGAUUUGAAGAAGCCCAUAGCCAAAUGUGCCUGGAAGUCUCCCAGCACCCCACCUGACACUGCCCGGGUGGAAGCCACACGCCCUGGUGUUGCCUCUGAGUCAGACCAAGAUGGUGGUCCCGAGGGCCCACCCAAGAAGAAGGCCGUGGGCUGGGCCUCCACAAAGAGCCCUGCUCCCGUGAGGAAGAAAAAGAAGGUGAGGUUGGGCCCUGUCUCUUAUGUCCUUGCUGAUUCGGAAGACACCAAGAAGAAGCCUGUGAUUCCAAAGAAAGGGCCAGGCUUGCGAAGGGAUACAUCGGUUCAGAAGGCCCCUCGGGGCCCACGGCCCGCUGAGUCGCCUGCCUCCGCCUCACAGGGUCCAGAGGCCAAGCCAGAAGGCUCCCCUCACACUUCCAAUGAACCCAGAAAGCUCUAAUAUGGGGGACCACCCAUACCAGAGGAGUUGAACGAAGACCAGGGAAGAAGUUCCAAGUCGAGAACCAAGUUUCUCUAGUCACCGAAUGACUUUGGACUCUUGUAGGGAUCCGGUUCUCAGAGGGACUCCAGAACCAGGACUCCAGCGCCAGCCACUGCCUGAGUCACCUGAUGGACAGAAGACCCAAGGGAAGCUGGACUUUGAGGACAGGAGAGCUAAAUAGGCCCUGGAGUGCACACACAUAAAGACCCAGGUCAAAGGUUUAUUUAUUGGGUCCUUUCCUCUGCGCCUCUAUGAGAAAAGCCAUAUUUGGCCAAGAUCUUUAAGUAACUCCCACGAACCCUCCUUCCCUGUAGUUAUACCCAGUCCAUCAGUAAAGGUGAAAGGCUGACCUGGCCCCUAGUUGGGGGAGAUCCAGGGAUGGGGCUUCGUGGGGGUACAGGUCAGCUCUCCAAGGAAACCCCCAGGCCACUUGUUGGACGGGGUGGCAUUCUGUUCCAGGCUGUGCCUCGGAGCAAGGCCCAGCCAGAGGUGCCAAGGAGAGGCUGUGCCCACCACCAGGAGGGCUUGAAGGUAAAGCUUCCUCAUUCAUCGUGCUUUCGUUUAGCCAGAAUUUAUUGAGCAUCUGCCAGGGGACAGCCAGGAACCAGACAGUCCUGUGCUCCUGGAGCUGACAUUCUUGUGGGGAGGUGGACCACACAUACAGAGAUAGGAUGGUGUGUAAGGGGUGUUAAGUACUGCGGUGAGACGUGAUGCAGGGAGGGUCAAGGUGAGUGUGUAUGCAAGAGACAGAGAGAGAAAGAGAGAGAUGGCUGUUCUAUAUAGUCAGGGAGGGCUUCUCUGAGGCGGUGACGUUUGAACAGAUCUGAAGGAGCUGAAGGGUGAUACAGGUGGCUGGCCAAUGGAACAGCGUCUUGGGGAGAGGGAACAAUCAGUAUGAAAGGAGGCAGGAGGGUGCCUGGUCUGAGAAAAAGUGAGGAACGGAGGGAUGUGGGGAAGAAGGGAGAUAUUUCUGUAUGGAUGGGCUUUGACUUUAAUCUGAGUGAGUCAGGAGCCAUGAAAGAGAUGUGAUCCUGCUUAGAUUGUCACAGGCUCCCUUGCCCGUUCCCACUUUCCACCAAACCAUGGCUCCAAGGAGGCACUCUCUCUGCCCGUUGUUGGACCUGUGGGUGGUAAAGUGUCAUCCUUGAUCUGAAGAAGGGAUGCUCAGGCACCCCAGCCGGUGCAGUGUCUUCUGGUUCUUUUACAGGACCCUGGGCAUCUGUGUCUGACACUGGGUAGGAAAAGCCCAGUCUAGAAUCAGUGUCCAUUCCCAUCAAGACCCGUGUGGAGCCCCCAGGGCUGCCAGCGUCAGUCUCACGCCAGCAGUGUUCAGGGCCUUCCCAACAGAGAACUGCCCACACGGCCAGCCCCUGUCUCUCUUGUUGACAGAUACAGUUCUCACUGGCAUUUUGUGCCUCAGGGUGCAGAAGGACUAUGUCUAGAUUCAGCCCAUCUCAGCACUGCUACAGUGCCCUGUACUCACUCAUCCCUUGGACCCCAGACACCAUCUCAAGGGAGCAUGUGGGGAUUUCUGCUUGUGGGUUCCAGCCACCUUCCAAACCUGGGAGUUCUGACAGUGAGACAGUGGCAUGUCCCACUGAAUGCCUGUCUCAAAUUCCCCUAGGGAUCUCCACAUGUAUCCCACAUGGGUGUCCCUUUAAUAGGCCAGAUUUCCAGUGCCUUCCUGCCUGACCAUAUGGCCAAGCCAUUGGCCAUCACUCAUGAGUCAGUAAAAACCCAAACAUAGGGGAUUUUACCACUUUAAUUCUACCACUGUUGGAAAAACAGCCUGCAGUUCAGCCCACCAAGCUGAUUUGUCUUUCCCUCCUUCCACUCUCUUCUUUCCUAACUAAUAGUAGAAGGGAAGCUUGCUACUGAUGGAAGCCAUCUUGCCACCAUGUGGCAGGAAGUGCAAAGGCCCUGAGACAGGAGUAUUUCUUGUGUGUGGGAGGCCAGUGCAGCUGGAGCACAGUGAGCAGGAGGGCAAAUAGCAGGAAGAGAGGUCAGAGAGGAUUGACUUUCUGAACCCAAGGUGAUACAGAGGAAAGCAGAUCCAGAAGAGAGAGAGAGAAUAUUGUUUACAUUGUGUGAGAGGCUGGCUCCAGCCAUGCCUGAAAGCCAGAACUCUUGGAUUUCUGGGUUACAUGAAUCAAUAAAUACCUUAUUUUUUCUUUUCUUUCUUUUGCCCAUCCCCUCUUUCCCCUCCUCCAGCAACCUGAAUUAGCUUAUUUCAUACGUGAAACUGUCCUGAUUAAUGAAACUACAAAAAGGCAUACGAUGAAAACUAAAUCACCUUUCCACCCUAGAUUCCAGAGGUUUACUAGUUUCUUUUAUAUCCUUCCAGAGAAGCUCUCCGUAGGUAGAUUUAUAGCAUUCACAUGCAGAUAUAUUCUCAUCUCCUUUUUCACUCAAGUAGAAUACUAUGCACAUUUUUCUUAACCUAAAGUAUCUUGGAACAUAUCUUGGAUAGUGUUCCAUUUUUCAUCAUCUGGCUGCAUAGACUCGGUGAGUGGCUUCAGGUACAUUUGUAACCUGCUGCUCAAAGAGAAGCCUCAGGAAUCUGGCUCGCCUGCCACUCUAAACUUUGUUCUCUGAGUUGGUUCCAUCCUCAGGCCAGCUUCUCCAUGGUGACAAAGGUAGCUGCCAGCCCAUAAAGUUUGAUCCUUAGAGCACCAGUAGAAAUAGAUGUGUUUUCCGAUGGUCCCAGUCAAUGUCCCAGGGAAGACUUCUUUUUUUUUUUUAAUUGACAUAUAGUCG